rnacentral:rRNA from 1 species
AUUGAACGCUGGCGGCAUGCCUUACACAUGCAAGUCGAACGGUAACGGGCCUUCGGGUGCCGACGAGUGGCGAACGGGUGAGUAAUGCAUCGGAACGUACCUUCAGUGGGGGAUAACGUAGCGAAAGUUACGCUAAUACCGCAUAUUCUGUGAGCAGGAAAGCAGGGGAUCGCAAGACCUUGCGCUGAUUGAGCGGCCGAUGUCAGAUUAGCUAGUUGGUGAGGUAAAGGCUCACCAAGGCGACGAUCUGUAGCGGGUCUGAGAGGAUGAUCCGCCACACUGGAACUGAGACACGGUCCAGACUCCUACGGGAGGCAGCAGUGGGGAAUUUUGGACAAUGGGGGCAACCCUGAUCCAGCCAUGCCGCGUGAGUGAAGAAGGCCUUCGGGUUGUAAAGCUCUUUCGGCCGGGAAGAAAUCGUAUGGGUUAAUACCCUGUGCGGAUGACGGUACCGGCAUAAGAAGCACCGGCUAACUACGUG